rnacentral:rRNA from 1 species
GGUUAAGCGACUAAGCGUACACGGUGGAUGCCCUGGCAGUCAGAGGCGAUGAAGGACGUGCUAAUCUGCGAAAAGCGUCGGUAAGGUGAUAUGAACCGUUAUAGCCGGCGAUGUCCGAAUGGGGAAACCCAGUGCAAUUCGUUGCACUAUCGUUUGAUGAAUACAUAGUCAAACGAGGCGAACCGGGGGAACUGAAACAUCUAAGUACCCCGAGGAAAAGAAAUCAACCGAGAUUCCCCCAGUAGCGGCGAGCGAACGGGGAGCAGCCCGGAGUCUGAAUCAGCUUGUGUGUUAGUGGAAGCGUCUGGAAAGUCGCAGGGUACAGGGUGAUACUCCCGUACACUAAAGCGCACAGGCUGUGAACUCGAAGAGUAGGGCGGGACACGUGGUAUCCUGUCUGAAUAUGGGGGGACCAUCCUCCAAGGCUAAAUACU